CUCCACCACAAAAUGUAAAUUUUCCUCCAUCCAGUGCGAAUGUUCCUCAACCUCCAUCUGAUUCAUCAUUUUCGGGGCCCAGACCCAAUUUUCAGAUGGCUUCCCCCCUUCCAGAUCAUUCUGCUACCAAGUCGAGCUUCCAGCCACCUUUUCCUGGAUAUCCAGGCAAGCAGCCUGCAGUUUCACAAGCACCGUCACCUUUUCCUGCUCAGCAAGGAAGUUUUAUGCCUCCUCCUGCACCGCCUUCUCCUUUUGCUAGUCAGCAAGGAAGUUAUGCUCCUCCUCCACCAGUAGCAGCUAACUUGGGCUACCAAUCAAGGGACCAAAUGCAGCAUCCAGGCUCUGCAC
rnacentral:lncRNA from 1 species